UCUUAACUCUGGCGGCGUGCCUAAUACAUGCAAGUCGAGCGAACAGACGAGGAGCUUGCUCCUCUGACGUUAGCGGCGGACGGGUGAGUAACACGUGGAUAACCUACCUAUAAGACUGGGAUAACUUCGGGAAACCGGAGCUAAUACCGGAUAAUAUAUUGAACCGCAUGGUUCAAUAGUGAAAGACGGUUUUGCUGUCACUUAUAGAUGGAUCCGCGCCGCAUUAGCUAGUUGGUAAGGUAACGGCUUACCAAGGCAACGAUGCGUAGCCGACCUGAGAGGGUGAUCGGCCACACUGGAACUGAGACACGGUCCAGACUCCUACGGGAGGCAGCAGUAGGGAAUCUUCCGCAAUGGGCGAAAGCCUGACGGAGCAACGCCGCGUGAGUGAUGAAGGUCUUCGGAUCGUAAAACUCUGUUAUUAGGGAAGAACAAAUGUGUAAGUAACUAUGCACGUCUUGACGGUACCUAAUCAGAAAGCCACGGCUAACUACGUG
rnacentral:rRNA from 1 species